UUGGGAAAUCACGCGGUAUCUUUUUGGGAAACAGAGUUGGCAAAUUGGGUGAUUUUUUAAAAGCAGUAGGCUGUUCCGCCAAAUCUCCGUGUGUGAGGUGCCUUACUCUGCUUUGAAAUUUUCAGCACUGGAAUCCUUAGCAGGAAGUCCACAGAGUGAGAUGUUCGCGCUUUUCCAAAGUGUGCUGUCAGCCCCUCUGCCUCAUGCUGGGCCCAGAAAGAGCACCUGGAGGAACUGCCCUGACUUCCGGAAGACAUCUGGGAGCCUGGCAGGAGAGUCUGACAGGUGGAGAGUGAAGGUAUUUGUUCUCUUUACUCCUUUGCUGCUGGUUUAUCUCCUUGUGCUGCCUUUGUCCUUGCACUCGAAGUCACUGCUUCUUGAAAGGUGCCCUCUGUGAGACUCCGCCAGUAUUCUCUGGAAAGCUCCUUUGCUUUUGCUAACCCCGAUUGACUGAAUUAUCCUUGGAAUUUUUUUUGCAG
rnacentral:lncRNA from 1 species